UUUUUCAUUUAUGUGUGCGCGGGGUGUGCAUGACUGGAAACGCACACACCCACACAUUCACAGCCAUCGUUUCCCCGUCGCGCAUCUUUCCUCGCUCUUCACACCACAGUUGUCGGUGCCUCCAGCAACUCAGGCAGCUCGCCCCCAUCCUCGUUCCACCACCUACCCACCCACCCCCUCUCCUGUGUCCAACAAGUCUGCGCGCGCUUACUUGUGUGUCUGUGGAUGGGCAGUGGUGGGUCCAUGUGAGUGUACCUGCACAAGACACGACAAGGACAAAGUCAGCGCGUGCCUCUCCCCACGCAGCCCUCCUCCCUACCCCACCCCCAACACGCAGACAGCACUCAGUGGCGCAGUCUUCUAUACAUGCAUAUGCAUAUAUAUACGUCUACGCAUACACUCCCGCGCACAGCCACGCGCGCACGCACCCACACAAGGCGCAGAGAGAGAGAGACGUGUAGGCCCCGUAACGCGUGUGCUUCGCUCACGCACUCUGCCCCCUCCCUCCCCGUCCCUACCUCCCUCUCUCUCGUAUAUACACACACGCACAUACACGUUACCUCUCCCUUGUUGUCGACGCCGUCGGUGCCACAGUGGGCUGCUGCUUCUUGUUUGGUUGGUUUAUCUUAUACUCACCCCAUCCGUCCUUCUGCUGCUGCUGCUACUGCUGCGUGUCGUCACCAACCUCCCUCCUCCCCUCCAUAACCCUUCUUGCUUUCUCCCAUCCACUUUUCUUUCUGUGAUUCACCACCACACCUUCUCCCUUCCUCAUCAUCAUUCUUCUCUCAUUCAUUCUUUCCUCUGCUUCAAUCGCUGCGACGUGCGAGAGGCGUUUCCGCUGCGUUGUCGGCACCUCUGCGGGCAGUCACCGUCUCGCUGUCGUCGGCAGCGCUUGUCUACAUGCGCGAGCGCCUGUGUACGGAUGGGUAUGUAUAUUGGAGUGCCAUACCGCUCCCUCUUUUGCGAGUGAUCACUCUCGCUUUCGUCGACAGCCCACUCGCACACUCGCACUCGCACUCCGUGCGUGUGUGUUGCCGUCUUCCAUUCCCUUCCCUUCCUCCUUUUGAGCUUGAAGACCAGCGCAGCGACACACCACAGAGGGUGCAGCAUGACGAAGCUGGCGCAGGUGUGUCUUGUAGCACUCGCUGGCUACGUCCUGGCUGGUCUUGUCGGCACCUAUUUCUCGUGCGCUUCCGCCGCCUGCACUGCGUUCGGCAGGUGCAGCCGUGGUACUGCAUUGUGCACUACGUGUGCUAUGGAGGUUUUCUCGCCUACUUGAUGAGCGCCGGGUCGAUGCGACGUUGCCGCGGCAGUCAGGACAUUGGUAAACGGACGGCCUCCCUAUGGGGCGCCUCCUCGCAGCUGCUGCCGCAAUGGACAAUGACAUCAGCCGGCGCGUUGCCGCCACAGCUCGACAGGGCACAGUCAGCUUCGCAAUCCUCGUCAGCGUCGAGAGUGUGGCAAGUGUGUGUGCUGCUAGGUCAGGUGGUCCUCGAUGCUUUCUUGAGCCCUUGGACAGAGGUUGUACCAGCGUCGCCUUCGCCGGCGGCUGCAACAAGGAUAGUGCGUCUUUACGACAUCUACGAGCCUCUCCUGCAGGCCAUCGCCGCCACGGCGUUCUUCAGUAGCUUCGCCCUGCUGUGCAACGCGCGAUGGCGCUACGCAGUGAUGGGCACUGCUGAACGGCAUCCCGGCCUCUGGAGCGCCAUCGUGGGUGUCAACACUACUACAGCUACAGCAGCAGCGUUGGCGCGGGCGACUGAAGAGGCGAACAAGGACGGCGCUUCCAUCCUCGAUGGAACAAGCACCUACGCCGCCGUCGUAGCCUCUCUGUCGCCUCCCAUGCGUCGAGGCUCCGUCGUGGCACCUCGAAUUCUUGUCCAGCGAUCCCUCGCGGCGCAGCGUCGGCAUUCAGCACGUGCGCCCUCGUACGUAAAUCGUGCUCGCGAUCGUGGUGACAGCACCCAAGUCAACCUCGCAGACAGCGGCGUCAGCACGCGCAUCUCCAUCUCCACCCCUGGUGCAGAGGACGUGUGCGGAGGCGGCGACCUUCCCGCCACCGUCCGCGCCAAUCAGGUGAAGCGUGCUACUGGCGGCCUCGAGGCAGCGGCCGCGGCGGCGGCGAGCAUGGACGACGUCCUUGUGGAGGAUGCGACGCUCAGAGGCAGCCGGCGCAAGUCCUGGCGGCGCAGCGUGCGUCCUACACGACCGCAGCAACAGCAGAAGCGAGCCCCAUCUCCUAUCAACGACGAUUACGAUGACAUCGACGACGAUGACGAAAAGAUGUGGAAUAGCGUGGAGCCCGGCAGCUCGGCCAGCCACUUUACCUCCUCGUCCCUCUUCAGAGAUAAUGAGGACCCAUCAAGCACCAGCAGAAGCCUGUGGCGUCGGCUGAUGCGCUGCUCCGGGCGGCGCCUGUUGCCUUUCAGUGCUUGUGUGUGCGAAGAGGGACAGGAGCGUACCAGCCGAAACGGCAGUUCUGGUGAUGGUGGUAGGGGCCGCUCGUCUCGUGAACGGCACCGUCAUCUCCAGCACUUGCGCCAGCGGCUGCUCGCCGCUUUCUGGUUGAGCGACGCCGUGGUGGUUCUUCUAACAUUCCUGAUGUUUGCUCUGUUAGCGGUGGCCCGCGUCGCCGCCGCCACGGCGACGGCGUCCGCCUGGGCGGCUGUAGAAGCGUCGAAGACGCAAGGGAGUUCUGGGCUGGAGCGUGGAAGACGUGGAGGUCAGCGACUGCUCACAGCCACUGCAGCCGCAGCAGCCGUCCCAUGCCCCACAGAGGGCUUUGUCGGCGUAGCUGGGCUGUUACUGCUCGCUGCGGAGCGGGUACUUGUGGGCCGCUGGAUGAGACUGCCCGGGCAGCUUCUUGCCUCGGUGUCUGCGGCCGCUGCGGCUGCGUCAGUCGAAACGCCCGCCGCACGCCAGCAGCAACUUCGGCCGCGUCUGCCGUGUCGCAGCUGGCGGAGGCUAGGCAGCAGCACAUUUCGCAGCAGCCUUGAUCUCUGGCACCUUCCGUCCACUGGCCGGCUGCACGGCGUGGAGACGGCAGGAUCUGCCGCGAUGAGCGCAACCGCAACAGCCGCUGUGGCGUCGAUGACGCCAGUGCCGUUCCACUUUCGGCAUGUGUUGACGGUCGCUCUACUCCUGCUGAUGCUGCAGUUCUUUUCAGACGCCGCGUGGGCGUGGGCGGCGGCGGUGCUGCUUACAACGGGGAGUGCGGUAGCCAACCUCGUCGACGCCGUCGCGGACUCGCUGCGUUGGGUGUCCACGGAGUACCGCCGCCUUUUGUGUCGCACGUGGUGGGAGCUCUUCUUCUCAUUCUCCUUUACACCGGCCUCCCUCGAGUCCGUGAACGCGCAGGAGCAGCACGUGGCAGGCUCCAUGCCGGCAGCAACGCCGGGGUCGAUCGGUGGUCUGGGUUUGCCAGCGGCGGUGGGCAGGGAGCUGCUGGUGAGCCGGGGCAACAGCGUCGGCAUGGCAGUCAGCGCCACCGUGAUGCCGCCGUUUGGCAGUCGUCUCCGUCGCCACUCCAUCGCCCAUCGAAGUGCGCGCCUGAUGAAGGCUGGCGGGGGUACAGGCCCGCUGUGGAUGGUGCGCCGUCUCGGGGCCUCCUUCGCCGGCACAGCCGUUGACUCCGCCUCUUCUUUGUCCCCUCCCUCAGCUGUGACGGCAACGGCAGCGACAGUGCUGGAAGAAGGCGCAACCAGCGUCGUUGUGGGCAAAGACCGGGAAGACGAUGGGCUCCUCAGCGGCGACGCACCAGGCUCACACGGCGUAGCUGGAGGCGGCGCGGCCGUGGUGACGGCCAUCUCGCCUAUGCAGUUCUGGCACAGUGUGGCGGCGAAGGUGCUGCAGCAGUCUGGCAAGGCCACGGGCGAAGCGGCAGAGCCUGGCAGUAGCAGUUCACACGCUCUUGGAGGUGCUGAAGACGUGAACGGCGUCGGGGUAGUUCCCACUGUCGCCGCCGCCUUGCUGCACCCGAUGCCGACUGUCAAUCCUCUGGCGAUGCUUUCACCGACGCCGGGUAUGGAGCACUUGAGCUCCGCGUCGGCCCGCUUCACACGCGAGAACCUAAAGGGAUCGAUGCUAUUGACGUUGCCGACCGUCGCACGCGUGGGCGGGAAGGCCGAGGCAGCGGAGCUGGACAUGCGAGAACGACUGCUCGCGAUGGAGCGCGCGGAGCUCCGGCAUGAGGAAAGGGCGAUGCGGGCACAGCAACUGUCUGCCUCAGACACGAUGGCAGCCGCCUCGACGCUUUCCGACGAGAACGAAGAGAAGUUGCACGCAGGUAACCCUCCUGCGCACUCGGUGGUGCCAGGCGCUCGUGAGCACGCGGGCCAUCACGACGACGAUGGUGGGGCUCUUGAGAAUGCAAGAGAAGCCCAGCAGCAGCAGUCUGUCACGCAAGAUGGAUGGCUUUCGCGGGCGCUGGCAACUGUGGUGCCCGGCUUCGCUGCGACACGCUGCUGCAGCUGUGAGGGCGACGGUGUGCCGAUAUCGUCACUGUCGACACAGCUGGACUCCACCUCGACAGUGUUGAACGUGUCCUUCAAUGAGAACUUAUCGCUCAGCUCCUCGGCAACGCGUGCGUGCAUCAACGAAGAGGAAGGCUUUGCGCGCUUCCUGGAUUGCGUGCGUCGCGACGGCGACAACACGUACGCCCUGCAGAGUUUACUGGCGGUUUACGGCCACACUUAUAGGCAUCGGGUGGACGCCAAGGGACGCGGCGCCUUGCACUACGCAGCCAUGGGAGGGUUUGUGCAGGGGGCGAUCUUUCUCAGCCGCAUCGGCGCUGAGCCGAACAUUCUGGACAAGGCCGGCUACGCGCCGCUGCACUACGCAGUGCUCUACCGCACCGAAGUCCACACGUCGCCGCGCAUCACGACCGAGUCGCCGAGCACAGCCGUGCAAGGGGCCCGACAUGUCGUAGGCAUACCUAUCGUGGAAACCACUGCCGUGCAAGCUGCCGCGCAGGCGACAAGACGUCGGCGACGCGACCAGCAGCAGCGACUAAAGUGGGUUCAAGCACAGCUGCAGGCCGCCUACUCGGCUGGCAGCGACGCAUCCAGUGGAGUUGAAGGCCGCAACAGCAGUGGCAGGAGCCCACAGGAGACCACGCUCACGAAGACAGGGAGAGAGACCUCCCUGCGCACCAGGAGCGACCCGGUGACCACAAGUAUACCUGGCAAGCCGCUUGCUGUCUCGCCACUCCAAAUCUUUACGCCGUCAUCGCAGCGGCCGCUGUCUUCCAUGGGCGUCGGUAAUGCGGCCGCUGGAAGCACAAGCAGCGCCGUACGUGGCCUGAACCCAGCGGCGAUCCCAGCAACAGCCACGGCUAUUCCGGCGGCGGCGGCAGCAGCUGCCGCGGCUGUCGUGGAGCCGGAGGAGGGGCACUGGUACGGCAUGGUAGGGGCACUGGUGCGUCUCGGCGCGCAAGUCGACCUCCCCAGCGCAAAGGGGCUGACGGCGCUGCACCUGGCCGUGAUGCAGGGGUCCGUUGGGCUCGUCAACACCCUGCUGCGCGAAGGCGCGAACCCGCUGCUGGGGCCGGAGCUAGAGACACGGUCACUCGCCUCCAUCAUCAACGCGGCCUCGUGUUGGGAGAGCGACAAGGAAAACACGGAAGUUCUCAUGAAAGGUGCCGGCAAGACGGCUGCGCCGUGCAGCUCUGGCGGGCAAGCCAACGACCAGGUCGCAACACAUCCCACGCAGCAGCAGCAGACGUUGUCAGACACCCCACAGUGUACCAGCAACAAGGGAAGGGACACAACAUCUCUCGUGUCGAGCGAGAACGACAACUCGCGCACGGCACUGGGGGACGCCAGUGGCUCUCUUGCGCUCUUCACGCAGCACUGUGAGUGGGUGGACAUGCACAUCACCAACGCCGGUAAUCCCAUCGUCAACGGGCACUGCAAGUCGCCGCUGCUGCUUGCUGUGGAGCUGGACGCGGAUUUGGCAGUAGCCAGUAUGCUGCACUGCGUUGCCUUGCAGGCCACCACGGCUCGGGUGGUGGCCGGACUUUCGCAGAGUAUGGUGGCUGCCCCACGUAUGUUCGAACGGCCGCCGUCGGCGCUGCUGGCGGCUCCUCAAGGAGCCGCGUCGCAAGCGCAAGGCUGUCCGCCACUGGCGUCGCUGCCUGUCGCCGCCGCCUCUGGUGAUCUGCCCACCUCUCCUGCACCGCGAUCCCGCGCCUUUGCGGCGUCGGCGGCGCAUCCGCUGGCUGACAACGGUGCGGGAGACGCCGCCAUGGCGCUUCCGUCGCCGAUGUCGGCAGCCGCCGCCGCCUUAUCUACCAGCUGUAGCAGCACCAAUGUGCGCCGGCCAGGAAGUCGGCGGAUGUCCCCGCAUACGCCUGGUAUCGCGGAUACCAGCUUCUCCUCAAGCACCACCACCACCAUCACCGCCGCGGCCGCCAUACCCAAUUCGCCAUCCACGCGAACUUGGUGGGAGCGGUGCUGCCUCCACGGCUUCAACCCUGUGCACAUCGCUCUGGUCCUUGGCAACGCGCAGGUGGCACGGGUUCUGCUUCUACGGUGGUGCUACACCGAGGAUGUCGCGCACAACCGUGACGCCGCCGCGGCUCCGCACAAGUGCGUGAGAGAUGCAGAGAAGCUGGGCGGAAGGGCGCGCGAGUUGAGCUCGAACGAACCGCGGACGACCAUUAGCACGACGCCGGCGCUACCAGAAAGUGCACUGGCGACGACAACGACGACCGUGCCGCCGUUGCUGUCCUCUCAGGCCACGGCGGGACCUGACGUUACAGAUAGCACCCUACUGGACUUCGCCAGUGGUGCGAACAUCAGUUUCCAUGUGGACGGGUUAGCGGCGGAGCAGCAACAGCAGCAGCCAGUGCUGGCGCACGUCGCAGCCCCCCUCUCUGAGGAGGCGGACGGGUGUUCACAGUAUACGAGUGUGAGUGGCGAAGCAGCCGCAGCAGCAGCUCCCACCGCGGCCAUUUCCCUCGGCUCCUCCACCGGCCCCGCCGCCUUCUGGGUGCGGUCGCUUCGCCUGAACCUAUUCCACCUUGCGGCCGUGGGCGAUUCGACGGAGUGCCUCGCGUACGUGCUGCGCUGGCGUGGCGCGCCAGACUACGUUCCGUGUGCGCUGGACGAGGUCUUCGAGAAUGAGCAGCGCGCUGAAAGUGUCCGGCGGGAGUCAGCGACGGCGACGCAGGACGCGUACCAGCGUCGUCGACAGCGGAGGCGGUUACGCGCCUAUCAAAGUAGCCAAGCUGCUUGCGACCUCGCUGGGGUAGCCGAGUCCUUGGCCAUGGUGGCGGCGACUACCGAGCCGAGCGCGCCCAAUAUGGAGGAGUACGUCUUCCCUGCAGAUGCGGGCAGCAGCAGCGCAGGCGCACCUGGAGUCGGCCACAUGAUGGCGAGCGGUGGAGGUGCGGCUGCUGCGGAAGCAGCACCUCUGCUGGAAAAGAUGGUUGAACUAGACGACUUCUCCAGGUCGCCCUCCUCACUGCCUGCUGCCGCCACGACGAGUGAAGUUGUCGUUGGAAUCGAGGAGGCACUGCAACGGUCUCUGGGGCCGUCCUCGACGGAUCCAAGCAGAACAUGCACAACCGAGAUGUCUUUCAAGAGCGACACGGACGUCAUUGCCUCCAGCUCCACCUCGGACAUCUUCAACCACACGUGGAGCAGUGCCACGCUGUCUGCUGAAUCAAACGAGGUCGCCAGCACGGCAGGGGCGCCGACAACCCCGCCGCGAGAGCGACGCACGCGAGCCAAGCAGCAGGGCUUCGUGCGCGCUCUUGUCACGCUACUGCAGACCAACAUUCGCGUCGACGCGGUGCGGCGUCGGGUGCGCAAGACUGUGUUCGGCAGCAGUACCUUUCGGAAGACGACGUCACCCCGGCGUGUCAACUCGCGUCGUCAGUCAUCGCAGCGUCCCCGCAUGGGCGGAGGAGAUGACGAGGACGGUGACGGCAGCAACGACAACACCGUGAUGGCGAAGACCUGCUUUGGCUCUAUCUCCGCAGCUGCAGCGCUGCACACUGGCAUGGCCGUCUGCUACGCAAGCAUGGACCAUCCCCCUCGCCGCCGCAAGAGAGGUGAAUACGGUAGCGAGAAGGACGCUGACGGAUCCAGUUCGCGCAGCAGCAGCAGCAGCAGUAGCAACCACGAAAACGUGAAGUGUCACAUUGUUGAGGCGCCCGGUGCACCCCGAGAGCUGUACCGGCGAGCCAAGGGGGCGGAACGGCCUCGCCGCCUGCGCCAGCAGCGCACCCGUGCCUUCGUUUCGGCAGUGGCGAAGCUGCGCCACUGCAUCGCCGGCGUCCCGAUCGACAUCACCCACCUCGCGGCGGUGGAGACAGCGGUAGAUCGGGCCUGUGCACAGAUGGCCUCCUCGAGUGCCCGUCGCGCCCUGCAGCAGGCGCUGCUGAUUGUGACUCGGCGCCUGCAGAAUCAGCACCGCCGCGCGCAGCUCGUCACGGGACUCAGUUGUGUCGCAGCAGCCGCGACGGCAGCGAUGGAGGCUGCGGCCGCCCAGGACGAUGGCCAGGCGUCUCGCGCAGAGAGUGAUGACGAGCCGACAACGAUCCCCACAACUUUGGCCGCCGUGGAGGCGUCAACGGGCGAUGUCGGCGGCAACAGGGACAGCGUCAGCGCCGGUACGAGUGAAUCUCUCAUCAGCAGCCUCAGUCGAAGCAGGCAGCGGGACAGGGCCACGGAAGCAGCCCACCACCACCACCAUCACCGCCAUCGCUGCUCAUCUCCGUCCUGCCCUUCUCCGGACUCGGCCUCCGCGCUGUCCUACUACAGCUCCCUUCACUCAAUCAUCACCACUACCACGACGACAGUGCGCGGGUCUUCCCCGGCUGCGCCGGAUGAGCGCGCCUCGGUUUCCGCGAGUGACGAAGAGAAGCCCCGCGGACGUAGGCAGCACAGACAGCAGAGCACGCUGCGGCUUCUGCGCACACUGAGUGCGGAGCUCAACGCUCUCGACACACGCGGGCUGACCCCGCUGCACUACGCCAUCGCCAACCAGAACGCGAGCAUGGUGUACCUGCUCUGCGCCUACGGCGCCACGUUCGUCUUCGCAUCGGAACAGACGGAGGCGCAUUUAAUGGGGCGCUCGGCAGAGGUGAUCGCUGCCGCGGCCGCGGUUGAGCACCAUACUGACGACUGCGACAUGAUGACCGUAGCCGCAUCCGACACCCAGCCUGCUGCAAGCCAGGACGAGCUGCAGAGUACCACGGCCCCCACCGAUUUCAUGUCACAGGCGAGGUCAUUGCCGACUGCGUGGGCCUACGCGCGUGCGCAGCUAUCGUCACCGUCCAUCAACGUGUCCACGGACACCCUUUCGUCCUUUGGAAAGCGCUACUACGCGCAGCUGACACCGCCAAUGCAGGAGGCGCUGCGGCGGGCCGCCAAGACAGGCAGUGCGGAGUAUCUUCUCUGGAUGCCGACCCAAGAGGACCGCGAGGCAGAGCGGCAGCAACGGAAGCUUCUCUCCCCGCUGCCCGUGUCUGAAGCGAGGGAUGCGGUACCCACCAACCCCCAGCGUUCCGUGUCACUGCUUGCGCCUCACGCGGUGUUGUCGCCCGCUGCCCCGACCACCACUGUCAUGAGCGCCACUGUUGCUAAAAGAAGUUCGCCGGCAAACGCCCAACUGCACUCGGCAUCACCCGUGAUGGUGCCCGCCUCGUGCUUGACGGUCGCCUCACAGCGGCCCACAACGAUGGCCGCUACCUUGACGGCGGCACUGGGCAUCAGCGACGCCGAUGUUGCGACACGCGCCGCGGCGACCGCGCCCGAUGCUUUCCUGAGCACUGAGGAGCCACUUGCAAAGGCCUCAAUGAUGACGGGCAGCGUGAAGGACGGCAGUGGUGGCGGGGAUGCGCUGGGCGCACAACUGCAGACACACCUUAUCCACCAGGAUAUCAAAACACUGCAGUCCAUGAUCGCAGGCAAGGCUAGCAGCAAAGUCAACGGCGGCAGCGGCGAAGACCUUGCCGCCUGUUUGCACCCGCCUCCUCAGCGCCUGCGAGCCAGCCCCAAUGCAGACGUGAGCCUGGAUGAAGCCAAGGACGAGGCGACGGUGGCAGCGAACUUGAUGGCGGGAAGGUCUUUCAAGCAAGACGUCGCCCGAGAAACACCACGGCAGCCCAACGCGUCGUCGUCCUCAGCACCGAAAACCUCAGCCGCGAUGCGCACACCAGCGGCUGCGACCUCCGUUGGCGCUGAAGGUACGGGCUCCACAGGGAUCACGGAGCUUACGCGGGGUGCGCGUGGCGCGGCCGUGCCGCCCUCAUCCCCAUCUUCCAAUGCCGCCGCCGCGGCUGUGGAGUACACGCUGCUGGAGCCGCACGAUGUGUUCAUCACGCACGUCGUACGCAAUCCAGCCAAGGCGGAAAGUAUCAUGCGUGCGGCCAUGGAAGGGACAGCGCUGCGCUACUUGUUUCUUGCCUCCGUCGUCUCGGGAGACAGCCUGUAGCGGGGUGCUAGGAAGCGAGCCAUCAGCUGUGCUCACCGGUGUCGGCGAGCCGGUUCUCGUAUGGGAAGGACGAUGGAUGUUGACUUUUUUUUAAUGCUUGCCUCAUGCUUCUCGUUGUUGCCGAGCGCUGCAAUGACGCACGCACGCCCUUCACAUACGCAGAGAGAGAGAAAAGCAUGCAAGAGGCAUUCGAGUGCGAAUCCGUUGAUGAGGUCGUUAGGCAUGCAGCCUCCUCUCCCUCCCCCCCAAGGAGAUGGUGAGACACGGAGCGGAGCAGCAGCAGCAAAUUCAAGCUCGCAUGGAUGAGCUACUCACGCUGCAGCCUCUGUCGCUCUCACGCCGCACUGGCACACCAUGGGCAGCAUCAGCGACACCCGGAAGGAGUAUGGUAGGGGUAGGGGGUGGGGUGCAGUGUUGAGCCGUUCACUUGCCCGUAUGCGCCCCUCUAUGAAUCUGCUUUCCGUUCAGCCGUCAUUGAUCAGCCACCACGACCACCUCCGCACUGAAGCACCCACCACUCGCGACGCAAGCUGACGCCGACCACUUUCUCCAUCUCCUUUCUUUUCUUUUUUGGUUUUUUUUUCAAAACGCCUUGGGUCUGCCUGCGUGGGGAAACGUCUGUGUGUGUGUGCACACGCGUACACACCGUGUCCGUGCGACCACCUCCAACGCCCCCUCACUCGCAAG
rnacentral:misc_RNA from 1 species